GAAAGCUCGGCUGGAGCAGCGUGGGACCUGCGAUCCGUGAACUCACCAUCUCACGCUCCCCCCGCUUGAUUCUGCCUUGUGGGUUUUGUUCCUGCGGCGUAUGUCCCCUUGUGCCCCGGGCUUUGGUGGCGUUGGAGCCAUGGCAGUGUCGAUGCUGCGGAUGCGCCACAGCUCGAUGGGGGACAACGAAGGGAGGGAUGGCGUGAGGCUGUCUGCUCGGAAUCCCAAUGGAGCCUCACCUGCUCUGUACCAGUUCAACCAGGCCAAUUCGCCUGCACGAGCUGGCUACUUCGGAGGUGACAGUAGGAGAGGGAGGAAAAGAAGAGGCACGGGGAACAUGUCUGCGCAAAAAUCUCUGCUUUACGUAGCCAACUCUGUUGUUGAGCCUCAGAAGCCCAUCAAUUUCUUGCGUGUCUUGGUUGAAGGAGCAAUAGCUGGAGCCACAGCAGGGGUUGUAGUUGAGACAGCACUUUAUCCAAUUGACACCAUUAAGACUCGUCUACAGGCUGCGAGAUCUGGCGGGAAGAUAGUGUUUAAAGGAUUAUACUCAGGUCUAGCAGGCAACCUCGCUGGUGUUUUACCGGCAUCAGCCAUUUUCGUGGGUGUCUAUGAACCGAUGAAAAGGAAGUUGUUGGAUAUCUUUCCAGACCACCUCAGCUCUGUUGCACACUUGACAGCAGGGGCUGCUGGAGGUGCCACUGCGUCACUGAUACGCGUCCCAACAGAGGUUGUGAAACAGAGAAUGCAGACAGGUCAGUUCCCAUCAGCACACUCAGCAGUCAGGCAGAUUUUGGCCAAAGAGGGUGUGCGUGGUCUAUAUGCGGGUUUUGGAUCUUUCCUCCUUCGAGAUUUACCAUUUGAUGCUAUCCAGUUUUGCAUUUACGAGCAGCUUAGAUUGGGCUUGAAGAAAGUGGUGAACAGGGAUCUUCUAGAUCUGGAGACAGCUCUUGUAGGAGCAACCUCUGGUACAGACUCGCAUUCGAAAGACGUUUCUACUGUUGUAAUUCUUGCGUUCUGGUCAUGUGUCUAAGAUUGAUCUACACAUUACGACGAGGAGGUUGUUCAUAUGUGAAGCUCUCUUGCCCUUUAUAUAGUCGGUAGUUGAGGUUGACUCGAAGUCAUCUCAAGUGGCACCUGAAUAACCGACGGUGAAGUUACCACGUCUUUAAAACUUCAACCUUAUGCUGGUGCUAUUACUGGUGCAGUGACUACGCCACUUGAUGUUAUUAAGACCCGACUUAUGACCCAGGGCGCAAAGGGACAUUACAAAGGUAUAGGUGAUUGUGUAUCCAAGAUUAUUCAGGAGGAGGGUGCGGGUGCACUACUUAAGGGGAUAGGACCAAGGGUGAUGUGGAUUGGUAUCGGGGGUUCCAUAUUUUUUGCUGUGCUGGAGAGAACCAAGCAGUUACUUGCAGCUCGAGUACUUCCAGAGGAUUUGAAAGAUGCAAGACUCGCUUGAAGAGUCGUCGCUUGUAAAAGCUUUUGUUCACCUGCUCUCAAUGGUUCAAAGAUUUUUUUUUCCUGUCAUGUAAUCGUCUCUCCCCCUAAACGUUGGUUUAGGCCUCCGAAAAUUCCCCAAUCAUGUGCCUUCUGCUAAGACGCGAGUGUACGUGUGCUCUAAACACUGGGUCAUGUGACUUAACUGUGUCCAGAAUUGAUACGUGUAAGCUCACUAGGGUUCAUACUUAGCAUCACAAAUUCUUUUUGUAAAUGUAAGGAUUCUGGGCACGGUAUCGGACAUGGCAACAAGUUUGAUGAGAUGUUUCACGAGUCCUGCAAAGUGAGCUUAUUGGACUCUUCAGGUACUUUACUGUAAUAAGUAGUCGAUCGAUUUCUGUGUUCGCAGACACAUCACCAGCAAGGCAGUGUCUCUUUCUUUGAAAUUGACGUCAGUAUAGCCGGCCCAGAGUUCAUUU